UCUCUCCCUCUCUAACCUCUCGUGUAUGGCAGUUGAGGGGUAUGUUGUCUGGUUGGAGACCUAGCACUCAGGUAUGGCGUCCGGAUGGAUCGACACGCCGUGCGUGCGCGGUUUCGGACCAGGCUUCAUUCCCCCCAACUCAACCGUGUUCUUCCAUCAAUCUCUCCAUUGGAGACGACAGCCGUGCUUGCAAUCUCUGCAGUUGGCAGCCCUUCGCCCCCGCGAUCGAGCAGCCACCGUGUUUUCUCUCAGUCAUCCAUCUUCCUCACCUUGCAAGUUGCAAUCAUCACCCAACUCGGCGGAUCGUCCACUCGACGGACAACUCUUUGGUUCACAAUUGCCUUCAUUCUUGAGUUGUUCUGUUUGUUGGAAAUUUGACGAAGUUUCAGAGAUUCUAAGCAGUAGUACAUCUUUCUCUUAGCACAUCAGUGUUUUAAAUCUUCAAGUUGAAGCCUUCUCUUUUAAUACUAGUGUCUUAGACGGAGAGAGAGAGAGAGAGAGAGAGAGAGAGAGAGAGAGAGAGAGAGAGAGAGAGAGAGAGAGAGAGAGAGAGAGAGAGAGAGAUUAGGGCAUAAUAAGAAACGUAAAGCCUUCUUGAGCACAUACAUAAAUGCGUAAUCAUAUCAGCUUGUAACAGUGACACACUUUUUUUUGACACACUAGUGUAAUGUACUACUACGUACAGUAGCAAAGGUACAAGGACAACACAUGCAGCAUAUAUGCUAUUAGCAGUUAAUCAGUGGGCGUGUGUAAUGAUGGUCACAACAAAAGCUAGCUAGCUAGCCUGCAGGUUCCAUCGGUUAUUCGUGUCGUCCUCGUUACGAAUCUUUCCGAUCAUGGAAAGAUCGCUUCCUAGAUUUCCCAGUACGUACGUAUAAACACCCCUGUGUGGCAACUAGCAACCGAAGCAUCUCUGCAAAGCUAUAUAUAUUGCCGACACCGUUAGGUGUGGAACCUAGCUACUAUUCAAAGCUUCCUUGGUACAUAUUCCGGUCUCACUCACUAUCAAAACUAAACUAAGAACGGUUAAUUAGCUCCGCUUUAUUAUUAGGAAACAUUAACCCUACUUUAUUUUACUACUAAUAGAAAUUGUUGCGCACCCAAAGUCUUCGAGCUGGUGAGAUAGACAACAUCAGAAUGAUUGACAAGCCACAGAGGGAAACAAAGAACACGGAUGCACCUAACCACUUGACCCAUCAUUUGCAUUUGCUCUCGAAGUUCCAAUCUGCAAUCGAGCGGUCUGAUCAACUGGAAGGCUGUUGCCUCGGAGUGUUGCUAGGCAAAAAGAUUAGCGCCCGGUCGGUGAAUGCUCUGGUCACGCAUCAAGAAAGCGACCCAACGAAAAUAGUGGUUCGUGAUGGUAAUAGGGGCAAGGAAAAGGGCGGUAGCAUGAUCCAUUUUUUCCGCUUCACUUUUGACUAAAGACUUUUAGGUUGGAACCGUUGUGAUCUUUACAAGGAUGAAGGAUACGCAUACGUGCACUGCAGCUCACCAAGGGUACAAUACAUCUGGAAGGUACCAAACCAUCAUUUCGUCAUGCCAUGGAAGCAUCGGGUUCUCUGUGACAUUUGUAAGCGUUAAGUUUGAGCAAGUGCCUUUUCCUCCCCAUUAUGAUCCACCGCACGUGGAUGUUUUGCAAGCAUUGCUGAGUUGACACGAGCUCACGCAUCUUCACGUAC